GCUGGUGGCUCGCUCUCA
rnacentral:misc_RNA from 1 species